rnacentral:sRNA from 1 species
GCCAGGUGUGGUGGCGCAUGCCUGUAAUCCCAGUGGCUCAGGAGGCUGAGAUAGGAGGAUUGAAAUUUCAAAGCCAGCCUCAGCAAAAGCAAGGUGUUAAGCAACCCAGUGGGACCCUGUCUCUA